rnacentral:lncRNA from 1 species
CUCACCGCGAAGGUCUGUAGUUUCACUUUUGAACCAGCGAGACCAUGAACCCGCCAGAAAGAAAAAACUGCCAACACAGCCGGACAUCAGAAGGAACAAACUGGGGACACGCUGCCUUUAAGAAACAUAACAGGCACCGUGAGGGUCCACGGCUUCAUUCUUGAAGUUAGUGAGACCAAGAACCCACCUAAUCCCGGGCACAAAACCACCUCAAUCUCCCAAAGACCGAAAGCCCUGGUGUCGCUGGGACCAGAGGUGAGACGUGGAACACGUGGGGAAGAUGAGAAGGCGCUGGAGAAGGAGGGUGGUGGUCGCAGAUGGGAAUGUGGUGGAGCCAAUGAGCUGUGCGGGUAAAAAUGGUUGAUAGAAAUUGAUGUAUAUUUUACCACAAUUGUGUGUGUGUGUGUUUGUGUGAGAGUUCUGUUUAUCUGCACAAUAGGAUUGUACUCGUAGUUUGCAGUGUUGUUGAGAGAAAGAAAUAGGAUCUUAAAGUGCUUAUCACAGCAUCUAGCGCCUUUUAAAUACUGAAGAAUAGUAAUACGAUUAGCAGCCGAAGAAUGUGCUAUUUAUAUUAAAAUAAAAAAUACAUCAGGCCAUCCCUCAGCGAGGCAGCCAAAGUUAGCACCUACGCAAUGAGCCAUGCUGGUGGUGUGUGCUUUUGCAUGGGUGUGAAAAGCUAUGCUCUCAGCAGACCCAAAACCCCAUCUAAUCACGAGAAAAACAGCAGACACAUGCCAGCUGAGAGGAUAGCGGGCCAGGCCUCCUCAAAACUGAUGGGCUCAUCAGCAACAAGGAAAGUGUGAGGAACUCUUAGCUUGGGAGGAGCCUGCGGAGAGUAACUACAACCACCACCGGCAACGGGGCAUCCUGGGCCGGCUCCCAGACCAGAAAAUGACAUCAGGUAAAAACUAAAGGAAGCUGAAUAAAUGGUGGGCUUUAGUUAUAACAGUGGAUCAGCAUGAGUUCAUUAAUUGUGACAAAUUUGCCAUUCUAAUGUAAGAUGUUAAGAGGAGAAACCGGGUGUGGGGCAUAUAGGAACUCUGUGUUAGCUUGGCAAUUGUUCUAUAAAUCUACAACGAAUCUAAAAUGUAACAAUUAUUGGAAAGGAGGACUGAAAAGAUUCAAGAGAAAGUGAUAAUAUUGAAGACAGGGGAAGAAACUGACAUACAGAUAAUAGGAGUCCCUGAAGAAGAAAUCCAAAGUGAAUAGAACAGUGAAAUUUGUAAAUCAAGAAAAGUUUCCUGAAAUAAAAUUUGAAACUACAUACUGAGAA